AUGUCGAAGCCGCUGCGCGGACCCAGGAAGCGGGUGAGGAGAGGCCUGUGGUCGCCGGAGGAGGACGCUAAGCUGACGAACUACAUUGCCAAGUAUGGCCACGGCUGCUGGAGUUAUCUCCCCAGGCUAGCAGGCCUCGACAGGUGUGGAAAGAGCUGCAGGCUGAGAUGGUUGAACUACCUGAGGCCGGACCUGAAGCGGGACGCUCUCUCUCAGGAUGAGGAGGAUGCCAUCAUUCGACUCCAUUCCAUCAUAGGCAACAGGUGGUCUCAGAUCGCGGCGCGGCUGCCAGGGCGGACCGACAAUGAGGUCAAGAACUUCUGGCACUCCUUCAUCAAGAAGAAGCUCCGCCGGCGUGGCAUCGACCCGGCCACACACAAGCCCGUGAUCGCCGAGCAGCUCGUCUUGCCAUCCGUGGACCGGCACAUGUCUCACUCUCACCCGGCCGUGACGGCAAAAAGCUGCAUGUGCAUCGGGAGCAGCACGGACGGCAGGGCGGUGUUCAGUGAAGGUGAAGCGGGCGGGACGUGGAUUUUUAGAACUGCUGCACCCCGGCCCUGGUAUCCUGGUUGUCCAAUAUUGCUUUAA
rnacentral:rRNA from 1 species